ACGCUCGACACCUACUGGAGGCAGCAGUAGGGAAUCUUCCACAAUGGGCGCAAGCCUGAUGGAGCAACACCGCGUGAGUGAAGAAGGGUUUCGGCUCGUAAAGCUCUGUUGUUGGAGAAGAACGUGCGUGAGAGUAACUGUUCACGCAGUGACGGUAUCCAACCAGAAAGUCACGGCUAACUACGUGCCAGAAGCCGCGGUAAUCUGAGCGGGCUGGCAAGGC
rnacentral:rRNA from 1 species